UCUUCGGAGUCUGGGGUGGUUGCGAAGAUCCCGGACCAGCCCCCAAAAUGAAAGAUCCCCAAAGAGAGACCCUUUCUAAAGUCACGGGAAAUCGCGGACCCCAGACACAGAGAGACCA
rnacentral:pre_miRNA from 14 species